AGGAGAAAAACCAUAUGAAUGUCCAGAUUGUGGGAAAAGUUUCAGUCAAAUUCCAGCCUUGUGCACCACCAGAAGACUUACACAGGAGAGAAACCUUUUGAAUGUCCAGAGUGUGGGAAAAGUUUGAGUGAUAAUUCCAACCUUGUGAAACACCAGAGGACUCACACAGGA